UAGGGAAUCUUCGGCAAUGGGGGGAACCCUGACCGAGCAACGCCGCGUGAGUGAAGAAGGUUUUCGGAUCGUAAAGCUCUGUUGUUAAGGAAGAACGAGUGUGAGAAUGGAAAGUUCAUGCUGUGUCGGUACUUAACCAGAAAGGGACGGCUAACUACGUGCCAGCAGCCGCGGUAAUACGUAGGUCCCGAGCGUUGUCCGGAUUUAUUGGACGUAAAGCGAGCGCAGGCGGUUAGAAAAGUCUGAAGUGAAAGGCAGUGGCUCAACCAUUGUAGGCUUUGGAAACUGUUUAACUUGAGUGCAGAAGGGGAGAGUGGAAUUCCAUGUGUAGCGGUGAAAUGCGUAGAUAUAUGGAGGAACACCGGUGGCGAAAGCGGCUCUCUGGUCUGUAACUGACGCUGAGGCUCGAAAGCGUGGGGAGCGAACAGG
rnacentral:rRNA from 1 species